rnacentral:rRNA from 1 species
UACGGGAGGCAGCAGUGGGGAAUAUUGCACAAUGGGCGCAAGCCUGAUGCAGCCAUGCCGCGUGUAUGAAGAAGGCCUUCGGGUUGUAAAGUACUUUUCAGUCGUGAGGAAGGUGUUAAGGUUAAUAACCUUAGCAAUUGACGUUAGCGACAGAAGAAGCACCGGCUAACUCCGUGCCAGCAGCCGCGGUAAUACGGAGGGUGCGAGCGUUAAUCGGAAUUACUGGGCGUAAAGGGCACGCAGGCGGUUAAUUAAGUUGGAUGUGAAAUCCCCGGGCUUAACCUGGGAAUGGCAUUCAAGACUGGUUAGCUAGAGUCUUGUAGAGGGGGUAGAAUUCCAUGUGUAGCGGUGAAAUGCGUAGAGAUGUGGAGGAAUACCGGUGGCGAAGGCGGCCCCUGGGACAAAGACUGACGCUCAUGUGCGAAAGCGUGGGGAGCAAAC